GAUGAACGCUGGCGGCGUGCCUAAUACAUGCAAGUCGAGCGAACGGACGAGAAGCUUGCUUCUCUGAUGUUAGCGGCGGGCGGGUGAGUAACACGUGGAUAACCUACCUAUAAGACUGGGAUAACUUCGGGAAACCGGAGCUAAUACCGGAUAAUAUUUUGAACCGCAUGGUUCAAAAGUGAAAGACGGUCUUGCUGUCACUUAUAGAUGGAUCCGCGCUGCAUUAGCUAGUUGGUAAGGUAACGGCUUACCAAGGCAACGAUGCAUAGCCGACCUGAGAGGGUGAUCGGCCACACUGGAACUGAGACACGGUCCAGACUCCUACGGGAGGCAGCAGUAGGGAAUCUUCCGCAAUGGGCGAAAGCCUGACGGAGCAACGCCGCGUGAGUGAUGAAGGUCUUCGGAUCGUAAAACUCUGUUAUUAGGGAAGAACAUAUGUGUAAGUAACUAUGCACAUCUUGACGGUACCUAAUCAGAAAGCCACGGCUAACUACGUG
rnacentral:rRNA from 1 species